CAGAACGAACGCUGGCGGCGUGCUAACACAUGCAAGUCGAACGCGAAAGGGACUUCGGUCCUGAGUAAAGUGGCGCACGGGUGAGUAACGCGUAGAUAACCUGUCUUCAUGUCUGGAAUAAUACGCCGAAAGGGGUACUAAUACCGGAUAUUCUUGCUUUUCAUAAGUUAUGCAAGCAAAGGUGGCCUCUGCAUAUGCUACUGCAUGAAGAGGGGUCUGCGUACCAUUAGCUAGUAGGUGGGGUAAUGGCCUACCUAGGCGACGAUGGUUAGCGGGUCUGAGAGGAUGAUCCGCCACACUGGCACUGGAACACGGGCCAGACUCCUACGGGAGGCAGCAGUGAGGAAUAUUGCGCAAUGGGGGAAACCCUGACGCAGCGACGCCGCGUGAGUGAGGAAGGCCUUCGGGUCGUAAAGCUCUGUCAAGAGGAAAGAAGUGUACAAUGGCUAAUACCUGUUGUAUUUGACGGUACCUCUAAAGGAAGCACCGGCUAACUCCGUGCCAGCAGCCGC
rnacentral:rRNA from 1 species